rnacentral:rRNA from 1 species
CCUACGGGAGGCAGCAGUGGGGAAUUUUGGACAAUGGGCGCAAGCCUGAUCCAGCAAUGCCGCGUGCAGGAUGAAGGCCUUCGGGUUGUAAACUGCUUUUGUACGGAACGAAACGGUGAGCUCUAAUACAGUUUGCUAAUAACGGUACCGUAAGAAUAAGCACCGGCUAACUACGUGCCA